rnacentral:misc_RNA from 1 species
GUGCCUUCUGGGGUCAUUUUGGCUUUUAGCGGCUUGCUUGGCAAUUGGGCUUGGUGGGUGGCUACUAGUUCGGAUGUCUUCGGGGAUGUCUACCGUAAAGGUGCAUGAGUGGUGUUUGGUUUGUUACGGGUGGUUGGCUCUUUGCUUGCGCAACAACUUCCACCUGGCAUACCUCUUCAGUCCUGUGUCAAUGCUUGUAUUGCGCUGACUGCACGACGGGUUUCUUGUGUUGCAUGCCUAACUAAUGGUAUCGUUUGAUGAACUGGUUUCCCUUUUCGUCUUGCGUCGCCUAUGCGAUGUGAGAUGAACCUUGAAGCAGCCUUUGUGAUCCACACUUUUGAUGCAUACGCAUUGAUUUUGUGGCCCAUUAAGUUUUGCUUGGUCUCUUGGAUAUGGAACCUGGUGUGGGCAUGGAAUUGUAAUGGUUCCUUGUUUGCCCAAGUUUAGCUUUUCGAAAACGAUUUGUCUAUCAUGUGUUAACGUGGUAGACUACGUCGAAUAUGAAUGCUACCUGGUUGAUCCUGCCAGUAGUCAUAUGCUUGUCUCAAAGAUUAAGCCAU